CCUACGGGAGGCAGCAGUAAGGAAUAUUGGUCAAUGGACGCAAGUCUGAACCAGCCAUGCCGCGUGAAGGAUUAAGGUCCUCUGGAUUGUAAACUUCUUUUAUAUGGGACGAAAACAGAUCUUUCCAGGUCCUUUGACGGUACCAUAUGAAUAAGCACCGGCUAACUCCGUGCCAGCAGCCGCGGUAAUACGGAGGGUGCAAGCGUUAUCCGGAUUCACUGGGUUUAAAGGGUGCGUAGGCGGGUAGGUAAGUCAGUGGUGAAAUCCUGGAGCUCAACUCCAGAACUGCCAUUGAUACUAUCUAUCUUGAAUAUUGUGGAGGUAAGCGGAAUAUGUCAUGUAGCGGUGAAAUGCUUAGAUAUGACAUAGAACACCCAUUGCGAAGGCAGCUUACUACGCAUAUAUUGACGCUGAGGCACGAAAGCGUGGGGAUCAAACAGGAUUAGAUACCCUGGUAGUCCACGCCCUAAACGAUGGAUACUCGACAUACGCGAUACACAGUGUGUGUCUGAGCGAAAGCAUUAAGUAUCCCACCUGGGAAGUACGUUCGCAAGAAUGAAACUCAAAGGAAUUAGACGG
rnacentral:rRNA from 1 species